AUUGAACGCUGGCGGCAGGCUUAACACAUGCAAGUCGAGCGGGGAAAUAUAGCUUGCUAUAUGACCUAGCGGCGGACGGGUGAGUAAUGCUUAGGAAUCUGCCUAUUAGUGGGGGACAACAUUUCGAAAGGGAUGCUAAUACCGCAUACGCCCUACGGGGGAAAGCAGGGGAUCUUCGGACCUUGCGCUAAUAGAUGAGCCUAGUUCGGAUUAGCUAGUUGGUGGGGUAAAGGCCUACCAAGGCGACGAUCUGUAGCGGGUUUGAGAGGAUGAUGCGCCAAACUGGGACGGAGGCAAGGGGCAGCCUCCUACGGGAGGCAGCAGUGGGGAAUAUUGGGCAAUGGGGGGAAACCUGAACCAGCCAUGCCGGGUGUGUGAAGAAAGCCUUUUGGUUGUAAAGCACUUUAAGCGAGGAGGAGGCUCCUGUAGAUAAUACCUGCAGUGAGUGGACGUUACCCGCAGAAUAAGCACCGGCUAACUCUGUGCCAGCAGCCGCCGUAAUAC
rnacentral:rRNA from 1 species